GACCAUCUCAGUUCGGAUUGUAGUCUGCAACCCGACUACAUGAAGCUGGAAUCGCUAGUAAUCGCGAAUCAGAAUGUCGCGGUGAAUACGUUCCCGGGUCUUGUACACACCGCCCGUCACCACCAUGGGAGUCGGAUAUGCCCGAAGCCGGUGACCUAACCGCAAGGAAGGGAGCCGUCGAAGGUGGAGCCGAUGACGUGGGGUGAAGUCGUAACAAGGUAUC
rnacentral:rRNA from 1 species